GUCUGGGAAACUGCCUGAUGGAGGGGGAUAACUACUGGAAACGGUAGCUAAUACCGCAUAAUGUCGCAAGACCAAAGUGGGGGACCUUCGGGCCUCAUGCCAUCAGAUGUGCCCCAGAUGGGAUUAGCUAGUAGGUGGGGUAAUGGCUCACCUAGGCGACGAUCCCUAGCUGGUCUGAGAGGAUGACCAGCCACACUGGAACUGAGACACGGUCCAG
rnacentral:rRNA from 1 species